rnacentral:rRNA from 1 species
ACGGAAGGCAGCAGUGAGGAAUAUUGGUCAAUGGGCGAGAGCCUGAACCAGCCAAGUCGCGUGAAGGAAGACGGCCCUAUGGGUUGUAAACUUCUUUUGUAUGGGAAUAAAGUGAGGGACGCGUCCCUUAUUGUAUGUACCAUGCGAAUAAGGAUCGGCUAACUCCGUGCCAGCAGCCGCGGUAAUACGGAGGAUCCGAGUGUUAUCCGGAUUUAUUGGGUUUAAAGGGUGCGUAGGCGGGCGAUCAAGUCAGUGGUGAAAUGGUGUGGCUCAACCAUAGCAUUGCCGUUGAAACUGGUUGUCUUGAGUGCGAAUGAGGUGGGCGGAAUGUGUCAUGUAGCGGUGAAAUGCAUAGAUAUGACACAGAACACCGAUUGCGAAGGCAGCUCACUGGGACGCAACUGACGCUGAGGCACGAAAGUGCGGGGAUCGAACAGGAUUAGAUACCCUGGUA